AAAAAAAAAAAAGAUUAAAUUAAAAUCAAACCGGUACCUGUUGUCCAACGGAGAUCGGAUCGAUAUUAUCUCGCACACCCGGAUGCGAGGAUAUCUAGAUCGCGGAUGUUGUAUCUAGGUCCCCUUUGCCAUUUCUCCACGAUACAACCGAGCCGCGUUUGUAAGGUGCUUUCAUCUCAAAAUAAUGCAUGCAAUCGUGACUAUCACAUCAAUGACUAAGGAGAAGCGCGCGUCGUAAUUGCGAAUCGAGAUGGACGUGCUGUUUGCAAGCGCCACUUAAAAUUUCGCGCAUUAGUUUUAUCAGUGGACAGAGAGGGAGACACCCGUCCACGAGUGGACAGAUUUUAUCCGGCAAGAUCGUUACACACUGGGGACAGUAUAGAAAUGCGAGAGACGAAGGUGACCGCGACGGUUCAACGUGCUCUUGGAAUGUCCAACCUGCUCGCGUAGAGAGAACGAUGAAGUAACCGAGCAUGGGUAACGAGUAACGAGUAUUGCGAGGAAGAAGAACGAAAAGAGGAAGAGGAACCCGCGAGAGGAACGAUGAAACGUGCAAUAAAAAGGGAUACAAAAGAGAUCCUGCUGCUCGCGUGGAACACGUUUUCGUACGAAACUUUCCUUCCAGCACCCUCUGUGGGAAAUUUGCGAAUCAAUCGUUUGAACAGUUACAGAGUAACGUUCAGAUAUUUCGGAUAAAAUUUCAAUUUAGGGACGCCCACGUUACAGAUCGAGAAUCGAUUGAGUAGUACACGCACUCUGUUGCAAAAUUGUUGUAUCAUUACGACGUUACGUAAAAGGAAUUGUAGUCGAUAACGGGCCAAAAUUGAAGUACUAUUAAAUAAGUGUUAACUGCUACAUCGAGAAGUGAUAUUUAAAAUGCUGUGGAAUAUUUACGUUCCGUUAUUUAUCAUUUUAUAUUAUAAAUGUAUAAAAUGUCAAGAUACGGAUAAAAUGUCAUAAAUAAAAUUAAAUUAGUUGCAUAUGUGU